AUUAAAGUAGCUUAUAAAAUAGAGCAUAACAUUGAAGCUGUUAGGGAAAUAGAUGAUAUUCUUUAAUA